GAGGGCAAGCCUCAAGAAGAAGCAACCCAAUUUAGGUGGCUUCCUGACCUUGGUCCAGGAUUGUCCUCCAGAAGCUAUCAUAAAGCAGUCCAGGGCAGCAAGUCUGUCUUAAAGAAGUGUAUACACUGACAAGUUAUGUGAGAGUACAGCGAGGUCAUCAUGGCUGGCCUGAGGAUUGGUCAGAAAAGGAGAGAUGCUAGGAGGCAAAAACAGUGGCAUUUCUCCUUCCCUUUUCCCCUUCAGCAUGGUCCAGGCAUUCAGUCCUCGCUCAAUCCUCAUGGCUGAGAUGAAACAAAGCCAGGGAGGCAGAAAGAGUGCUCCAAGAAUCAGCGCUGUCAACCUUUAACUCCUGAAGAUGCAGCUUUCUUCAGAUUCAAAAUCAUUCUGUGGGACACCUGGCCACCACUGAGGGAAACCAGUGCUGUGGUAUAUGAUACACAGCCUUGCACUCCUUAACUCUGCUGUGUGAGGUGCAAGGUGGGUGCCUGGGAGAGCCUGGGCUGGCACAGGGCUGGGCACAUAGCAAGUGGAGAUGACCUACACAAUUCGUGGGUGGGCGGGGGGCACACACCAGGGACCUGAGGAAGGCACUGGCUUCUGUAAUAUUUCCUCUGCCUCUAACAGGAAAACUUGAGUCUCUCUGUUCUUUGUUAGUAUCUGUCUUCUAUUAUAGCAAAUCCUAUAUCCAUGGCUUUAAUGGACAUUCUAAAAUUUGCUGCACUGACAGUCUUAAUAUUUCUAUUCCUCUCCCUCUCUAUACUCUUUGAAGACCUCCUGAUUGGCCCUGAGGAAGUACCAGGGGUAACAGUAUCUCUGGGUCCCUGUCCCUCAGCCCAUAGGCCACUGUGAUAAUUGUCUGCUUAGCAUUUCCAUAUUUAUUGUACCAAUGAUUGUAAUGAAGAUAUACACUGAAAGUUUGAGAUUAUAAUAAAAACAUUUUUCACAUCUGACUGAUUUUUUUCCCG
rnacentral:lncRNA from 1 species